rnacentral:lncRNA from 1 species
CGGACAAGGUGGAGGAUGUCACCAAUUGACCAUGAUAAUUUAGGAUACCUGAUGUUUAUGUGGCGUGUUAGAUCCCUAGAGCACUGGGCAAGCAGUGAUUUGGUAAUGUAAUUCACAAUUUAUAUCAGAAUAACUAUUGGACAUCCCUAGUAAAAGUGUAACUUAGUACCUGUGCUUGCCUUGGGUACUUGAAUAUUACCAAGACUUUACAAAGAGGGAAAAACCCAACUUUUGGCAAAAUAUACAUCCCAGUAAGGCACAGUUUCUCUGGAAAUCAGGCUCCAGACACUAGCAACUCCGCAGGACGUAGUCACAGUCCAUGAUUUCAACAGCCAAGAGGUAGAGACUAAGAGCAAGCCAACCUAAUCUUUCUCAAAGGCAAAGCUAUUUUGGGAUCCAGCUUGCCAAUAAUGUACUAAUGGAUAUUUUGAGGUCCUGGCUUCUGAUGCCUGUAACUCACUGGCAGCAGUGAAUUUCCUCUCACCAAGGGGUCAUUGUGUGCAAGAGACAAAUGAAUCUGGUUUAUGUCUGAGGCUGCCUUGUAUUUUGGUCUUGACUGCUACCUGUUUCUCUUGUAGCCUCCCAGUCUCUCUCCCCAUGUUUCUCUCCUUGCCUUGCAGUUGAAAAAAGCAAGAAAGCACAAGCAGUGUCAUAAAUUUGCCACUUUAGGUAGACAAAAGGAACUUUAUUGUAUUAGUUGUUGUAAGCAACCUCCAUAUAGAAGUUAUAUAGAUAUAGAAUGCUCUCCUGGAACACCAAAUGAGUGCUGCCUCCCUGCUUUCCACCUCCCAGCAAGUCAUCCUCACCAGCUGUCGGAAAGCGUUAAGUGCUCUGGAGAAACCAGGGAUGUAAAUACUGCUCUGGAAAAUAGAUAUAUGAAAUUAUAAUAAUUACCAUUGUACUUAACCAUAUUGCAGUAUAUAAUCGAAGGCAUUUUUUUUAAAGCAUUAGCCAAGCUUUUAAAUCUGUUAGGAACAAAAGAUAAAACAUGCACUCUUCUCAGUGUUUCUCAACAUUUCUGAAGAGGGAAAAUGGCUGAAAGUUGAAACUAUGUGCUUCUCCCAGGUCCAGUUCUCAUAGUGUUAGUACACAGUAUUUGGAUUUAAUUUGCUUGUGUUAUGAGUAUAUGAGAUCUGCAGGUUGAUUAUGUUCUGUGAAGGUUUUCCUCGAGCUCUUAUGGGCAUAUUGGGUCUCUGCCACAUGACUAAAUUGCUGGUUAAUUCCUAUGUGUCACCUGAGGCCUGGUUAUCACUAGGAAUCCUUGUGUACCAGCUGCUAGUCUGCCAUAGAUAUAAGGUAACGCAACAUAGCUCAGACUGUUGUGAAAAUAAAAGAUGGUGUCCAAGAACUGUGGUCAGGCCUAACAACGCAGGCGUUAGGAAACUUGGGGGUUUCUCCAUUCUUUGCCAUUCAUCUGCUGUGCAGCUCUGGGCAAAUCACUUUGACCUGUCAUCUUCUUCUCUUCCCUUUUGCUUUUCUUUUCUCUUGUUUACUUAGGUUAAAAGGACUUGAAGGAUCAUAUGCACCUGGGAUCUCUAGACUUCACCACACUAAGAGUUCUUAUGUUUGUUGGGGUUUGCAUCCAGCUAGGAUAUGAACUUUUUGGUUCAUAAGACCUUAGUGAGCACUCUUGUGACGACAGCCGUAGUGUGAAUUCAGUAAGGGGAUCACAUACUAACUGCAGCAAGACCGGUGAAUGGUGCAGUGCCUGAGUGCAGAAAACAAAAGCCACUAGUCUUAAAUAUUCCUAAUUGAACCUGACUGCUAACUAAACCACUGCUGUGACUCACAGCAGUUCUGCAAUGUAAAUACUUUUCUCAGAGACAAUAAAAUUUAAUUGGAG